CGUAGUCGAUGGGAAACGGGUUAAUAUUCCCGUACUUGGUGUUACUGCGAAGGGGGGACGGAGAAGGCUAUGUUGGCCGGGCGACGGUUGUCCCGGUUUAAGCGUGUAGGUGUGUGUUCCAGGUAAAUCCGGUUCACUUUAACACUGAGGCGUGACGACGAGGCACUACGGUGCUGAAGCAACAAAUGCCCUGCUUCCAGGAAAAGCCUCUAAGCAUCAGGUAACAUCAAAUCGUACCCCAAACCGACACAGGUGGUCAGGUAGAGAAUACCAAGGCGCUUGAGAGAACUCGGGUGAAGGAACUAGGCAAAAUGGUGCCGUAACUUCGGGAGAAGGCACGCUGACACGUAGGUGAAGUGAUUUACUCAUGGAGCUGAAGUCAGUCGAAGAUACCAGCUGGCUGCAACUGUUUAUUAAAAACACAGCACUGUGCAAACACGAAAGUGGACGUAUACGGUGUGACGCCUGCCCGGUGCCGGAAGGUUAAUUGAUGGGGUCAGCGCAAGCGAAGCUCCUGAUCGAAGCCCCGGUAAACGGCGGCCGUAACUAUAACGGUCCUAAGGUAGCGAAAUUCCUUGUCGGGUAAGUUCCGACCUGCACGAAUGGCGUAAUGAUGGCCAGGCUGUCUCCACCCGAGACUCAGUGAAAUUGAACUCGCUGUGAAGAUGCAGUGUACCCGCGGCAAGACGGAAAGACCCCGUGAACCUUUACUAUAGCUUGACACUGAACAUUGAGCCUUGAUGUGUAGGAUAGGUGGGAGGCUUUGAAGUGUGGACGCCAGUCUGCAUGGAGCCGACCUUGAAAUACCACCCUUUAAUGUUUGAUGUUCUAACGUGGACCCGUUACCCGGGUUGCGGACAGUGUCUGGUGGGUAGUUUGACUGGGGCGGUCUCCUCCUAAAGAGUAACGGAGGAGCACGAAGGUUGGCUAAUCCUGGUCGGACAUCAGGAGGUUAGUGCAAUGGCAUAAGCCAGCUUGACUGCGAGCGUGACGGCGCGAGCAGGUGCGAAAGCAGGUCAUAGUGAUCCGGUGGUUCUGAAUGGAAGGGCCAUCGCUCAACGGAUAAAAGGUACUCCGGGGAUAACAGGCUGAUACCGCCCAAGAGUUCAUAUCGACGGCGGUGUUUGGCACCUCGAUGUCGGCUCAUCACAUCCUGGGGCUGAAGUAGGUCCCAAGGGUAUGGCUGUUCGCCAUUUAAAGUGGUACGCGAGCUGGGUUUAGAACGUCGUGAGACAGUUCGGUCCCUAUCUGCCGUGGGCGCUGGAGAACUGAGGGGGGCUGCUCCUAGUACGAGAGGACCGGAGUGGACGCAUCACUGGUGUUCGGGUUGUCAUGCCAAUGGCACUGCCCGGUAGCUAAAUGCGGAAGAGAUAAGUGCUGAAAGCAUCUAAGCACGAAACUUGCCCCGA
rnacentral:rRNA from 1 species